rnacentral:rRNA from 1 species
UGGGGAAUAUUGCGCAAUGGGGGAAACCCUGACGCAGCGACGCCGCGUGCGGGAUGAAGGCCUUCGGGUUGUAAACCGCUUUUGAUUGGGAGCAAGCUUUCGGGUGAGUGUACCUUUCGAAUAAGCGCCGGCUAACUACGUGCCAGCAGCCGCGGUAAUACGUAGGGCGCAAGCGUUAUCCGGAAUUAUUGGGCGUAAAGCGAGCGCAGGCGGUUAGAUAAGUCUGAAGUUAAAGGCAGUGGCUCAACCAUUGUAGGCUUUGGAAACUGUUUAACUUGAGUGCAGAAGGGGAGAGUGGAAUUCCAUGUGUAGCGGUGAAAUGCGUAGAUAUAUGGAGGAACACCGGUGGCGAAAGCGGCUCUCUGGUCUGUAACUGACGCUGAGGCUCGAAAGCGUGGGGAGCGAACAGG